UGGCGAACGGGUGAGUAACACGUGGGUGAUCUGCCCUGCACUUCGGGAUAAGCUUGGGAAACUGGGUCUAAUACCGGAUAGGACUACGGACUUCAUGGUUUGUGGUGGAAAGCUUUUGCGGUGUGGGAUGGGCCCGCGGCCUAUCAGCUUGUUGGUGGGGUGAUGGCCUACCAAGGCGACGACGGGUAGCCGGCCUGAGAGGGUGUCCGGCCACACUGGGACUGAGAUACGGCCCAG
rnacentral:rRNA from 1 species